GACGAACGCUGGCGGCGUGCCUAAUACAUGCAAGUAGAACGCACAGUUUAUACCGUAGCUUGCUACACCAUACACUGUGAGUUGCGAACGGGUGAGUAACGCGUAGGUAACCUGCCUGGUAGCGGGGGAUAACUAUUGGAAACGAUAGCUAAUACCGCAUAAUAUUAAUUAUUGCAUGAUAAUUGAUUGAAAGAUGCAAUUGCAUCACUACCAGAUGGACCUGCGUUGUAUUAGCUAGUAGGUGAGGUAACGGCUCACCUAGGCGACGAUACAUAGCCGGCCUGAGAGGGUGAUCGGCCAAACUGGGACUGAGACAAGGCCCAGACUCCUACGGGAGGCAGCAGUAGGGAAUCUUCGGCAAUGGACGAAAGUCUGAACGAGCAAAGCCGCGGGAGUGAAGAAGGGUUUCGGAUCGUAAAGCUCUGUUGUAAGAGAAGAAAGGGUGUGAGAGUGGAAAGUUCACACUGUGACGGUAUCUUACCAGAAAGGGACGGCUAACUACGUG
rnacentral:rRNA from 1 species